rnacentral:rRNA from 1 species
AACGAACGCUGGCGGCAUGCCUAACACAUGCAAGUCGAACGAGACCUUCGGGUCUAGUGGCGCACGGGUGCGUAACGCGUGGGAACCUGCCCUUAGGUUCGGAAUAACUCCCCGAAAGGGGUGCUAAUACCGGAUAAUGUCUUCGGACCAAAGAUUUAUCGCCUUUGGAUGGGCCCGCGUUGGAUUAGCUAGUUGGUUGGGUAAAAGCCUACCAAGGCGACGAUCCAUAGCUGGUCUGAGAGGAUGAUCAGCCACACUGGGACUGAGACACGGCCCAGACUCAUACGGGAGGCAGCAGUGGGGAAUAUUGGACAAUGGGCGAAAGCCUGAUCCAGCAAUGCCGCGUGAGUGAUGAAGGCCUUAGGGUUGUAAAGCUCUUUUACCCGGGAUGAUAAUGACAGUACCGGGAGAAUAAGCUCCGGCUAACUCCGU